UACCCCACUAUGCUUAGCCCUAAAUCCUGACACUUCCCCAACUAAAGUGUCCGCCUGAGAACUACGAGCACAAACGCUUAAAACUCUAAGGACUUGGCGGUGCCUCAAACCCACCUAGAGGAGCCUGUUCUAUAAUCGAUAACCCACGCUACACCCGACCGCUCUUUGCCCACUCAGCCUACAUACCGCCGUCGCCAGUCCACCUAUCCUGAAAGAACAACAGUGAGCACAACAGCUCUAACCACGCUAAAAAGACAGGUCAAGGUAUAGCUCAUAGAGCGGAAGAAAUGGGCUACAUUUUCUAACCUAGAAAACUACGAAAGAGGGCAUGAAAUCUCCCCCAGAAGGCGGAUUUAGCAGUAAAGUUGAACCACAACGCCACCUUAAAGCUGGCCCCGGGGCACGUACAUACCGCCCGUCACCCUCCUCACAAGCUGUCACCAUGAGUAAUUAACACGCACUCCCGGCCAAAGAUGAGGUAAGUCGUAAC
rnacentral:rRNA from 1 species